rnacentral:rRNA from 1 species
UGCAUUAUUGCUCUUCACGCGGAAUGCCUAGUAGGCGCGAGUCAUCAGCUCGUGCCGAUUACGUCCCUGCCCUUUGUACACACCGCCCGUCGCUACUACCGAUUGAAUGGCUCAGUGAGGCCUUCGGACUGGCUCAGAGGGGUUGGCAACGACCGCUCAGAGCCGGAAAGUUGGUCAAACUUGGUCAUUUAGAGGAAGUAAAAGUCGUAACAAGGUUUCCGUAGGUGAACCUGCGGAAGGAUCAUUACCGAGUGCGGGCCCUCGCGGCCCAACCUCCCACCCGUGUCUCUCUCUACCUGUUGCUUUGGCGGGCCCACCGGGGCCACCCGGUCGCCGGGGACGUCCGUCUCCGGCCCGCCCCGCCGAAGCGCCCUGUGACCCUGAUGAAGAUGGGCUGUCUGAAUCGCAUGAAAAUUGUCAAAACUUUCAACAAUGGAUCUCUGGUUCCGGCAUCGAUGAAGAACGCAGCGAAAUGCGAUAAGUAAUGUGAAUUGCAGAAUUCCGUGAAUCAUCGAAUCUUUGAACGCACAUUGCGCCCCCUGGCAUUCCGGGGGGCAUGCCUGUCCGAGCGUCAUUUCUGCCCUCAAGCGCGGCUUGUGUGUUGGGCGUGGUCCCCCCGGGGACCUGCCCGAAAGGCAGCGGCGACGUCCGUCCGGUCCUCGAGCGUAUGGGGCUCUGUCACUCGCUCGGGACGGAUCGGCGGAGGUUGGUCACCACCACAGUUUUACCACGGUUGACCUCGGAUCAGGGAGGAGUAC